UAGUGAGAGAGAUUUCACGAAGACCCUCUGAACUUAAGCAUAUCAUUAAGAGGAGGAAAAGAAACUAACUAGGAUUUCAUAAGUAGUGGCGAAUGAACAUGAAGAAGCUCAGAUGAUAAAAGCACGCAAGUGUUUGUUGUAAUGAGAGUCGCGAAGACCUGUAGGAAAGCAGGACAAGAAGGGGUGAUAGUCCCCGGGCGGCAGGAGAUUUAGAGAGUAGUGCUGUUUGGUAGUGCAGUGUGAAGGGGAGGUAGUAACUUCCAAGGCUAAAUAUAGUUAGACACCGAUAGCAAAGAAGUAGCGCGAGCGAAAGAUGAAAAAGUUUCAUAUAGAAAGUGAAAUAGUGAAAGUACCAGGGGGUAAGCCGAGAGACUCGGACCCGUAUUGAAACACGGACCAAGGAGAUUUUGAGUGCAGCGAGGUGAAUGUAUGGAAAACAGAAGCCGAGAGAAGUUUAGGAGUUGCAUUCAUAAGACCCGAAAGGUAGUGAACUAUGUCUGUUUUGAUUGAAGUCAGGAUAAAUUCUGAUGGAGGAUCUAAGUCGUAUUGAUGUUCAACUCAUUGACAAAAGAUGGGCAUAGGGGCGAAAGACCAAUCGAACUACCUGGUAGCUGGUUCCAGCCGAAAUGUCUCUCAGGACAGCGGUGCUCAAGUCUAUGUAUAAUGUUAUAGAUAAUUUAUUGUUUGUAAUUAUUGUAUAAGUGUAGAAAGGUAGGAAGAUGCAGUAGAGAGGAUGUGGACUUAGUCAACAAACUCCGAAUGUGUCGUUUGGUUUGAGAGUGAUCCAAGCCAAAAGUCUAUAGAGCACUAGUGGGCUCUCUGUGGUAAGCAUGGGGCGCAAAAAGGGAUGAACCUAGCAAAGAGAUAAAUGGCCAAAGACAGGACAAAGAGCCCAUAAAAGUGGUAUCUAAAUUAAGACAGUGGGGCGGUGGCCAUGGAGGUUGGCAUCCGCUAAGAAACGUGUUACAACGUACCCAUCGAAUUUAGGACUACUUAAAAUGGAUGGCGCUGACCUGUGUCAUGAUGCUCUUGAAGCGAAGUUUAGUAGGCUGGCAUGAUUGUACUAGAGAAGGGCGUGUGUGGACGCGUCUGGAGGUGCAUUCAGAGCAGAUCUUGGAGGUAGUAGCAUCAUUAAAAUGUACUUAAGAAGACGGGUUUGUCCUUUGAAUAGAAGGAAGUGAUACGAUCCUAUUGUCGCAAGUUAGUUUAUUUGUAGCAAUAUAGAUAGAUGAAUAGGCAAGGAAAAGGGAAGAAUUUAAAUAUUAAUUCGAAGCUGCCCGAAGUGGCGACACUAAGCACGAAUCCGCCGUAUACAGUAUGUAGUUAUUGUAUUUAUUUAUGAUAGCUAUAUAUGAAGGAGUGUAAAUUUGCUCAAGGUAUGGAGGCUCUGGAAAGUCAUAUUGAGAAGGAGUCGAAGGGGGAUGAUAAAAAGGCAGGGCAGUUGUCGUACCGAACCGCAUCAGGACUUCAGGGUUAGGAGCCCAAAGUAUAAGAAAAAAGUAAGUAAGGGAAAUCGGCAAAAUGGAUGAAAAACCUCGGGAUAAUUAUUGGCUCUAGCACGCUAGAACUGGGCUUACAAGGGGAAUCUGACUGUUUAAUAAAAACAUAGCUUUGUGUAGAUGCAAAGUGAAUUCUGCUCAGUGCUUGGGACGUUAAGGAAGUAAUUUUAAGUACGCACUUGUAAACAGCGGGAGUAACUAUGACUCUCUUAAGGUAGCCAAAUGCCUCGUCGUCUAAUUAGCGACGCGCAUGAAUGGAGCAACGAGAUUCCCACUGUCCCUACUUACUGCUUUGCGAACCAACAGCCAAGGGAACGGGCUUGGGACAUGCAGCGGGGAAAGAAGACCCUGUUGAGCUUGACUCUAGUCAAGUGCAGAUCUCUAUUUGUUUGUCGUAGCGAGGUGGGGAAAUGUGUGAGACCACUGACAUCCGUAAUGGAGGUGCUUACAAGACUUGAUGGGGAGUUUGGCUGGGGCGGCACGACUGCUAAACAAUAACGCAGACGUCCAAAGGUGAGCUCAGAGGGGAUGGAAACCACUCGUGGAGCAUAAGGGCAAAAGCUUGCUUUAGCCUGCCGUGUGAACGGCAGGUACUGGAAACAGCGGCCUAGAGAUCCUCCGCUACACACGUCUAGGAGCGGAGGUGACGGAAAAGUUACCACAGGGAUAACUGGCUUGUGGCGGCCGAGCGUUCAUAGCGACGCCGCUUUUUGAUUCUUCGAUGUCGGCUCUUCCGAGCAUGGUGAAGCAUCAAUCACCAAGUGUAUGAUUGUUCACCAAUUAAUAGGGAACGUGAGCUGGGUUUAGACCGUCGCGAGACAGGUUAGUUUUACCCUACUGCAGUGCGUUGAAGAGCAGGUCAGAACAGUACGAGAGGAAGUACCGAUCAGGACCACUGGUAAUGCCUUCAUCUGUUAAGGUGCGGGGCACAGCUACGUCCUUCUUGUAACAGCUGAAAGCCUCUAAGCUGGAAUAAGUACUUGACAACGCGAUUGUGUGAAGACGACUCACACGGGGACAGGAACUGUACGGCAUGAGCUUUUUGCGAGUGCUUCAGGUUGCCUGCUUCCUCAACCUUUUGGUGCUUAUUCUUUCAUUUUAUGUUAUUUAUAUUUAUAAUUUAUACUAUUUUUAUUUUAAUAUUAUUGAUAAAUUUAUUUAAUACUUAUUGUAUGUAGUUAAUAAUAAUAUUUUUAUUUUUAGUGCAGUGUAGAUAAAAUUAUAUUAAAUAAUUAGU
rfam:Enterocytozoon hepatopenaei strain TH1 scaffold_00037, whole genome shotgun sequence.